rnacentral:rRNA from 1 species
GACGAACGCUGGCGGCGUGCUUAACACAUGCAAGUCGAACGGAAAGGCCCUGCUUUUGUGGGGUGCUCGAGUGGCGAACGGGGGAGUAACACGUGAGUAACCUGCCCUUGACUUUGGGAUAACUUCAGGAAACUGGGGCUAAUACCGGAUAGGAGCUCCUGCUGCAUGGUGGGGGUUGGAAAGUUUCGGCGGUUGGGGAUGGACUCGCGGCUUAUCAGCUUGUUGGUGGGGUAGUGGCUUACCAAGGCUUUGACGGGUAGCCGGCCUGAGAGGGUGACCGGCCACAUUGGGACUGAGAUACGGCCCAGACUCCUACGGGAGGCAGCAGUGGGGAAUAUUGCACAAUGGGCGGAAGCCUGAUGCAGCAACGCCGUGUGCGGGAUGACGGCCUUCGGGUUGUAAACCGCUUUCGCCUGUGACGAAGCGUGAGUGACGGUAAUGGGUAAAGAAGCACCGGCUAACUACGUG